UCUCAGUUAGUAUAGUGGUCAGUAUCUCCGCCUGUCAACGUUCCGUUGAGCAGUCCGCGGAAGACCCGGGUUCGAUUCCCGGACUGAGAG